rnacentral:rRNA from 1 species
UACGAAGGGGGCUAGCGUUGCUCGGAAUUACUGGGCGUAAAGCGCACGUAGGCGGCUUCUUAAGUCGGUGGUGAAAUCCUGGAGCUCAACUCCAGAACUGCCUCUGAUACUGGGGAUCUUGAGUCCGGAAGAGGUAAGUGGAACUGCGAGUGUAGAGGUGAAAUUCGUAGAUAUUCGCAAGAACACCAGUGGCGAAGGCGGCUCACUGGCCCGGUACUGACGCUGAGGUGCGAAAGCGGUGGG